rnacentral:rRNA from 1 species
GUGCCAGCGCCGCGGUAAUACCGGCAGCCCGAGUGAUGGCCGCUCUUAUUGGGCCUAAAGCGUCCGUAGCUGGCUGCGCAAGUCCGUCGGGAAAUCCACUCGCCCAGCGAGUGGGCGUCCGACGGAAACUGCACAGCUUGGGACCGGAAGGCUCGAAGGGUACGUUCGGGGUAGGAGUGAAAGCCCAUAAUCCCGCACGGACCACCGAUGGCGAAAGCACUUCGAGAAAACGGAUCCGACAGUGAGGGACGAAAGCCAGGGGCGCCAACCGGAUGAGAGACCCCUGUAGUC